rnacentral:misc_RNA from 1 species
GAGAAACUUGUACAAGUGGAAUGGAUAACUGCCUAGCUAGUUACUCCGUCAGACAACGUACAGUAUAAACUAGAUAUUUUAAUUUCAGUAUUUCUAAUUUGCAGAUAGUAUGUGUAUUUCUGUAUGUGUAUUUUAAUGUGUAUAUCAGCAAUUUUUUCUGGUGAUACAUGUAUCAGAAUUGUGACAUUUUUCCCUUAUAAUUGCAGUAAAUAAUCUCACCAGUUACUAUUAUUGCAAUGUUGAGAAUUGAUGGUUAAAGUAAUAAACAUUUUUAAAAAUAUUUUGAAUUCUUCAAAUCACCUUCAAAAUUAAACAAUAACUCAAUUCAGAAUUAAUGGAAGUAUUGCCUUAAACUUGAUCUGAGGUAUUGAAUUAAAGUAUCAAAUUUUCAAUUUACUGGCACAUUCUCUUAUUCCAUUAAAGGAUCUUGUACAUGUGAUAAAUUUAUAUUCUGUUUUUGCUUUCAUUUUGAAAGAAAAUACUGCAAGUGUCAAAAUUUAGAUGUGAAAUAAAAGGUUAUUUUUC